rnacentral:lncRNA from 1 species
UAUGAAGUCUUCUUUAUCACUGUGUCACUAAAAUGUUAAUCUUUAGCAAGAUUACUAGUACACAUCUAAGUCAGCAAUAAUGAAAAAAGUUACUAUAUAAAUUACAUAAACUUUUUGCAUAACUUCUUUGAAUAAAAUUAAUGCUGCUUGGUGUAUUCGCAGCACAACACAUAAUAAUGCUUUCAAUGUUCCUGGUGACACAAAUCAGUUUGAAGAAAGGAUUGACCGUGGUAUAUGAGGCAGAUCUGAAAUUAAGCAGCCUUCCCACACCAGGCACAGUCUUCUUUUGGUUUUAUGACACAGAAGAUAGCUUGUUCACAGCAAAAUCUCCCCUAAUUCAACUUCUGAGCAAUUAAGACUUUCUCUCUAGAGUCCAGUGAUUCUCCCCUAAUGACGCUCAAGCCUCUGGCAUGAACUGUUAUGCGUCAGGAUUUUUUGUUUCUGUGUACAGAAGUCCCAAGUCACAGCCAGCAGUAGCCAAGGUGAGACCCACUGAGUGCUAGGCUCAUCUUUGAUCUUCAUGCUGUACUCUGCCUCAAACAAAACAAUCCCAUUUCCCCAUAGAACCCAUGUCAUCCUUUCAUAUCAGUAGGAACGAAAGGACAUUUCCAGUGGUUUAAGUCUCAGUUGUAAAGAACCUGUUUCAUUUUAUUUCCCAUUCUAUUUGUCCUGAUUUUAUUUUGGAAUCUCUUUUGUAGUUUUCUAAAAGCAAGGCUUCUGACAAAGUCCACUAAAUGCCCAAGGAGUCCUUCCCCUUAUUUGACAAGGGUAUCAUUCAACUGAUUCUCUUCAAGUCGUAUAAAAUGAGUUAAAUAGAGCUAAAAUGGAUGCUUCCCUGCCAGCUUGUAAGUAAGAUUUUGCUUACACAUCUACCAUCCCUCUCCUGUUGCAGAAAUGACAACAACCCUGGGUCUACAAGACACUUCAAGGUUCCCAAACAGUACUAAAGUUCUUCUACCAGCCCAGCCUUGUUUAUUUCUUUCUGAAAACAAAAUUCAAGAUUCUUACACCCACCCUAAAUGUUUCUUCCUCUAUGAAGGGAAGAACUCUGCUUUUCCUCCCCCAAACAGAUGAUUAUAUGCUCAAACAGAAUAAAUCAAUGAAAAAAAA